rnacentral:tRNA from 1 species
GUUAAGGUGGCAGAGCCCGGUAAUUGCACAAGACCUAAGCCCUUUCCACGGAGGUUCAAGUCCUCCCCUUAACU